ACGGCAGCGCGGGCUUCGGCCUGGCGGCGAGUGGCGGACGGGUGAGUAAUGCAUCGGAACGUGCCCAGGAGUGGGGGAUAACGUAGCGAAAGUUACGCUAAUACCGCAUACGUACUGAGGUAGAAAGCGGGGGAUCGAAAGACCUCGCGCUCAUGGAGCGGCCGAUGUCGGAUUAGCUAGUUGGUGGGGUAAAGGCCUACCAAGGCGACGAUCCGUAGCUGGUCUGAGAGGACGACCAGCCACACUGGGACUGAGACACGGCCCAGACUCCUACGGGAGGCAGCAGUGGGGAAUCUUGGACAAUGGGGGAAACCCUGAUCCAGCAACGCCGCGUGUGGGAUGAAGGCCCUCGGGUUGUAAACCACUUUUGGCAGGAAAGAAAUUGCCUGUGCUAAUACCAUAGGCGGAUGACGGUACCUGCAGAAUAAGCACCGGCUAACUACGUGCCAGCAGCCGCGGUAAUACGUAGGGUGCGAGCGUUAAUCGGAAUUACUGGGCGUAAAGAGUGCGUAGGCGGUUUUGUAAGACAGAUGUGAAAUCCCCGGGCUUAACCUGGGAACUGCAUUUGUGACUGCAAGACUAGAGUGUGUCAGAGGGAGGUGGAAUUCCGCGUGUAGCAGUGAAAUGCGUAGAGAUGCGGAAGAACACCGAUGGCGAAGGCAGCCUCCUGGGAUAACACUGACGCUCAGGCACGAAAGCGUGGGGAGCAAACAGGAUUAGAUACCCUG
rnacentral:rRNA from 1 species